rnacentral:tRNA from 1 species
AUCUUAUUAGUAUAAUGAGUAUGAUUGUUUUCCAAACAAUUGGUUUAAUAAUUUAAAUAAGAUA